GCCACGCUGAGGAUCAAGAGAGAGGCGCCAAGCUGCUGCACAGAGGAGGGUCACAGGAGAAGCUGAUCCGUCUGCGCUGGGGAGAGCUCGCCCAGAACCCUGCUGCCCGCGUGCGACGUCCCAGGGCGCGUGGGCCAUGGGUGUGAGCCAGGCCUUCCCCGUGUGACUCUCCACCCCAUCUGUCUGCUUCUUGCUCCUGCAAGUGUUCAUUUUAUUUCAUAUCGCUUAGUCUUGAACUCACUAUGUAACCCAGACUGUCUUUGGGCUCAGGGUGAUCUUCCCGCCUCAGCCUCCUGAGUGCUGGUUGGCAGAGGUGCACCCCUGCUGGCCUCCGAGUCCUUUGUCCUUCUCCACUCCGAGGCCCCCACGGGACCAAGGCCUCUCGAGGUCUGGGCUGGGUGUGGUGCUGCGUGGCGCAGGUGCUGCAGGGAUGCGUGAGCGAGUGAGGGGCAAAGAAGGUGGGCGCCGACGCCCUCCCACCUGUCCCACCUCCCGGGCCUCCCUCCGAGUUGGCGGAUGCCCACAGCUGGCACAGGAGCGAGGUGGGCCCUGCUCCCGCCCCGGCUUGAGGCCUGCACUGCGUCCCAGGUGGUGGCCUUUGGGGUCUGCUCUGCCCUGGCUUUUGCACCCAGGGCCUCUCCGCUGAGCUACUUCACCAGCCCUUCUUAUUUUUAAUUAUUUUGAGGCAUGAUCUCAGUAAGUCACUCAUUUGCCCAGGCCGGGCUGAGUCUGCAACCCUCCUGCCUCAGCUUCCCAUGCUGGAAUGACAGGUACGCACCACCACACCACGCCCCUCCCAUGGCUUGGAAAUCAUCUCUACCUGUGAUUCUCCGUGUGGGCGUCGGGCUGCUGUGCCCCAAGGAGGGGCAGGCCCAGGCCUCCGAAGCGGAGAGACAUCUGCUGAGCGCUCCCCAGGUCUGCACAUCCAGGAGCCUGGUCCCCAGGUCUCUGGCUGUGGCGUCACAGUGGGGUGCAGGGCACUUCGGCUCCUCUCCCAUCACCGCCCCAGCCCCAGGAGCUGCCUGGCCCAGGUCUUGUCUCCGGAAAGCCCUGGGGUUGCUGCAGCUCCUGGGCCGAUCACUGCACACCGUGCCAGAGGCUGCCGUAGACUGCCCGUGCAGCUGCUUAAAAUAACAGCCUUCGCUUUGCUCAUGAAUCUGUAGUCUGUUUUUGUUUGUUUGUUUGUUUGAGACAGGGUCUCGCUAUGUAGCUCACUACGUAGUCCGGGCUGGCCUCGAACUCAUGGGGAUCCUCCUGCCUCUGCCUCCCAGAGUUGUGGGAUGAUAGGUGCCUGUGAAGGAACUAAAAGCACCUGCUCUCCACCCUCGCCUCGGGCUGCAGCCCCCAAAGUCCCUGGCCGGGACAAGACGCCCUCCUGCCCCACAAUCUGCCUCGCUGCUGCAUCUCAGCGGUGGCCACCUCUGAGGGCCAACCCUGCCUCCUCCCGGUCCCAGCCCCGGUCUCCUCUGUCCCUCUCCACCCCGCAGUCCUGUCUGUCCCCAGCCCGGGUCUCUGCGCCCCUCGGCUCCUGCCACCCACUCUGCCUGUCCCCAGGAUGAGCUUUUGAGUCCCGAGCGCGAGGGCUUCAUCCCGACCCCCCACUCGACCCCUGGUGACCAGGCCUGGCCUCCUUGGGUCCCUGGUCCUCACCCGCUCCUCCCUUCCCCUGCCCCAGUGCUCACGCUUCAGAUUCGGUUUCAAUUUGAAUUCCUCCAGCAAGCUGCCCCUCCCACCCCAGGACUUGUCACCCCUUGUGGGAGUCAUGUGUGUGACCAACUUCUGCUGGUGCAGUGAUCAUACCACCUCACUUGCCAGUGUAGCCGAAGGACUUAGUCCAGAGCAGGGAGCAAAGUGAACACUCAGACUGUCAUGGGCGAUAGGUCAGGUUGUGCACUGAUCAACUGUAGAGGUCUUCACUGCACAGACUGCCCUAGAAUUACGCAGUGCCCACCCUGAACACACAAAGCAGCCCAGCAAAUAGUUUCGGUGUACGGCUAAGUAAGUAAAGUGAAUUUUGCGAUCUUUGUCACUCUUUGUUAAUAAUGAAAUUAAUGUUUGGCAAAAGGAAAAAAAAAAACCGCCUGAUUUCAGUGAUCUCUUUUCAAAGGC
ensembl:lncRNA